rnacentral:rRNA from 1 species
UAAAACGUAGGAGGCGAACGUUAUCCGGAUUUACUGGGUGUAAAGCGCGUGCAGGCGGUCACGUAAGUUGUGCGUGAAAGCGCCCAGGCUCAACCGGGCGAGGACGUGCAAAACUGCGUGACUAGAGGCAGGUAGAGGCGUGUGGAAUUCCGGGUGUAGUGGUGAAAUGCGUAGAUAUCCGGAGGAACACCAGUGGCGAAGGCGACACGCUGGGCCUGACCUGACGCUAAGACGCGAAAGCAUGGGUAGCGAACGGGAUUAGAAACCCCGGUAGUCCAUGCCGUAAACGAUGCGUACUAGGUGUUGCGGUGUAGAAACUGCAGUGCCGAAGCAAACGUGAUAAGUACGCCACCUGGGGACUACGGCCGCAAGGUUA